CACAGUUUAACUGCAGUGAGCCUGACAUCUGGCAGUUACGCUGCUGGGACUCUCCACUUGAGGGCAAUUCUUUGCUCAUUUUUAGCAAAGUUUGGUACAGUCAUCUUUCAUAGGUCGGUACAGGAAUUGCUGGCCAUUUCUGGCAAAUAAGCACACAUUGGUUUUGAAGAUCAUCAAAGACUCUGUUAAAAUGAAAGAAGAAAUAGAGCAUGAAGGUUCUACUAAGAUGAAACACAUGUUUUAGAAACAAUACACAUAUGGAAGAAUUAUUGACAAUUCAAAGAGCAGGUACAAAUAAGGAAACCAUGAAGAAGCAAUCACUAAUAUGUCACGGCCAGCGUGACAAAUGGGCCAGGAAACGUGAGGGUCACUUGGAAAGGAUAUAACUGUGGAGUCAUUAAUUCCUGGAGUGAAACUGCGAAGAAUGAUUGAGUUGUAACAUGCUUCAAGGGAACUGGCGCUUGUUCUAACAACUAUCUAUCCAAAUGUAGGAGAGAGCAAGCUAAAAGAUUUUAUGUUUAUCUAUUGUGUUUUACAAGCAACUUUCAUCCUGCUAUGUUUAUCCAAGUUUAUGAAAUCUAAUGCCAGAAUCUACAUAGAUAGCGUUCAAAAUGCCCAUGAGGACACCAGAGAGCUCUGUAUAAUGGUAAAUUUUGUCUAAGACAUAGAAAAGUAAUAUGCACAUAUGGCAGUUAGAAUUAAUCAACAAUUUUUCCCAAGACUCCUCCCUUUUCAUUUAUGUAUUAUUUCCAAUACAUAUCAAGGAGGGGUAAAAAUGAAGUGAUGUUGUAUUACUUUUUGUUCUGGUGAAAUUUUUAUAUGUAUAUCAUCUAUAUCACAUUUUUUACUUUGUAAUUUUAAACUGUCCAAACUAACUGCAUAGUAACUGCAAUUCUUAGGAUAAAAAAUAGAAAUUGAUAACACAAUUAUAAUUUUAAUAUUUUCUAAAUUAUUUGGGAAUGGGUCACCUGGGUGGCUCAGUCAUUUAAGCCGUUGCCUCUGGCAGCUGCCUUAGGUGUAGGUCCUGAUACUGGGGAACUGGGACCGAGCCCCGUGUCAGGCUCCUUGCUUGGCUCCCUGCUUCUCCCUCUCCCUCUGCCUGCUGCUCCC